rnacentral:rRNA from 1 species
UAGGUGAACCUGCGGAAGGAUCAUUAU